ACGAACGCUGGCGGCGUGCUUAACACAUGCAAGUCGAACGGAAAGGCCCUGCUUUUGUGGGGGUGCUCGAGUGGCGAACGGGUGAGUAACACGUGAGUAACCUGCCCUUGACUUUGGGAUAACUUCAGGAAACUGGGGCUAAUACCGGAUAGGAGCUCCUGCUGCAUGGUGGGGGUUGGAAAGUUUCGGCGGUUGGGGAUGGACUCGCGGCUUAUCAGCUUGUUGGUGGGGUAGUGGCUUACCAAGGCUUUGACGGGUAGCCGGCCUGAGAGGGUGACCGGCCACAUUGGGACUGAGAUACGGCCCAGACUCCUACGGGAGGCAGCAGUGGGGAAUAUUGCACAAUGGGCGGAAGCCUGAUGCAGCAACGCCGCGUGCGGGAUGACGGCCUUCGGGUUGUAAACCGCUUUCGCCUGUGACGAAGCGUGAGUGACGGUAAUGGGUAAAGAAGCACCGGCUAACUACGUG
rnacentral:rRNA from 1 species